rnacentral:piRNA from 1 species
UAUAAAGGCACGAUUUCCUACCUACCUACCU